UCAUCCCGUCACGUGAUGUCCCUUUGCUCCACUGCCAUCCGAGUUACGGUCCUCCGCUGACAGUCACAAGUGGAGAAAACGAGUCUCUAAGUUUAAAGUUUAAAGGUAAGGCAAGUGAAAUGGUAAGUUGAACCGGUGACAGACAGAACCCUGCGUUUCUAGCCAAAAGUUUCAGUUUCAGACCAAUUGUUUUGAGACGCGAUUAUAUAGUAAACUAUUAUUUCACAGCCUCAAAGAAACGAUUCAGAACUUUGGUAUUUUUUUUUCAUUUAAGCACAAAGCCUUGUCCUUUAACGUCUGCUGCGUACGUUCGACAACAGGGUGAGUAAGAACAACUGGCGCCGCGUCCUCGUUGGGUCAAAGGUCAAAUCUUCGUGGCCUUCACCGUAAAACAUCGUCAAGAAAAAAGGGAGGAUUUAUAUAAGCCUGACGAAAGGGAAAAAAAAUGUUAAAUAAGUUUGUUUUUGACAUUUUUACUACCACCUACCAGCCUUUAGUGCUAUUUCAAAACCCAGGUCUCCUCCCACCUGUUAUCUUCCUCCCCUCCCUUUUCCCCACUUCCCAUCCCCAAGCCUAGUUAUUGCAAAAUCUUGCGAAAAGAUUCUGUCGCUACGCAAAGUAACGGGUUCUGGAGUGAGUCAGGUCAGGUCAUUAGGAAAUAUUGCCUCUUUAUUAUCCUUCCAUAAUUAUUUAAUCUGUCUCUAAGAAUUUUGUUGUUAAAGCUCUAUCCACACACACACACAGACGGCGUUGCGACCAAGUUAGUGAAGGGAUGCUGGUGAAGGUGUAAAACCAACUCAAGGCUUCCCAAGCGCUGUCGACAGCAACAUGAUUUAUUCGCAAACAGCCAAGCACACCAGCCAGACACCAUGAGCCAGUAGGUAAGUCUCAGGUGAAACCCACUUCGUGCACCUUCGCCGACUCCGUGCCCAGAGGCAUCAAUUAUUUCCGCUGCAAGUGCGGAUCUUCUUCCCCCGACAAACAGUUUGGUAGAAUCUUCAGAGAGAGCAGACACUCCCCAGCCAUCAAACAGUCCCCGUGCCAGCAAACACAUCAGAAUGGAGGGCGAGCGAGGGAUGUGAGAGUCUGAGGACGAGCCCGAGCAGCACGUAACGGCAUUUUGAGGAUUGCCAGAUUGUUGCUGGCUGCUGUGGAGAGGACUCGCGAGGUCGAAACACAAUUACCGGUGAUGAAUGGAGACUUGGAGGGAAGACGUGUCAAGAAAAGGGAGCGAGAGGGAACAUGGGGAUCGAGACAAAAGUCGGCAGAACUGCUACAUGGUGACCUCCCUGAGCUGUUGAUCGAAGUGUUGUUGACACUUGUUUCGCGGCUACAUUUGAUAUUGAUGCAACCCAGAUAAAACGGUUCUUGUUGACUGGAAGCGGAGGGACAGCUUGAAUUACAUCUUGUACAAAUGCAACUGUGCGAGGUAAAGUAGAAGUUUGACAGCUUGCACUGUUGCUCCUGUCUGUGCCAGACAGACUGCGACGAGUCUAACAGAUUUCAAUAACAAAGUUCGUGGGGGGGCGGAAUUUUGUUUUUCUUUGGCAUGAAACGUUUGGGGUGGUGGGAGGGGGAGAGAAACAGUAAGAUAUAGGGCCAGGUCGUGUAACUUGCCGCCGUAUGAGAUAAAAGAGAGUUAAUUCAGGAACAGAUACCGGAGGAGAUAGAUUCCGCCCUCGCCACUACCUCUCCCCCCAGAAAAAAGUACUAGUCCUCCAAAAAGUGGGGCCUCUAUCACCUACCUCUCCAAACGACCUGACAAAAAGUUAGAGGAUGACCUUUAACUAGGUAAUAAAUAUGAGGAUUUUAAUGUUGUAAUUCAUGCCGAUGAGGGUUAGUCCUUUCGUUUUUGCUGGAGGGUGUGGGCAAGGGUUUGAGUACAAUCAUGUUUUGAGCUCUGUUAAGGGCUUGUGUUGACAGCAACAGGUGACAAGAGAUUUUAGACACAAAGAUAAAGAGACAGAGAAAGGGAGAUAGAAGUAGAGCUAGAGUCACAGAGACAAACAGAUACACACAGAGAUAGAAACAAAGUCAUAGAGUUAGAGAUAAGGAUUCAGAAAGAGUAGUAAGGACAGUCAAUAAAUGAAUGAUUAAUUUUGUUAGGGGAGGGGAGUAGGAUGUUUACUUAGUUCUGACUCCAAGCCUUUAGACACCAAACUGCUUAUUGGUUCUAUGUGAACAGGAGGGUUCUAAUGAUAU
rnacentral:lncRNA from 1 species